ensembl:lncRNA novel transcript
AAGAGCCACCCACAAGAUGCGCCUGAGCCACAAGCCACACCGUGAACCCAGGGCAGCUACGACAGUGCCUGGUGCUUGGGGAGUGCUUGACAGAUUCAGGUUGAAGAAACAAAGGCAGGAUGUCUGAGAUGCCCAGCGUGGGUGAGUGCACCCUCCCUCCCUGGCUCUGCUCCUCCCCCUCCCCGGAACCACCACCCCCUCAGCCCUGAGCUGCCGAUGCCCUCGGGGUUCUGUUUUCAUUCCAGGCUGUGGAUCCGGUCGUGGGAAGCAGAGUGAACUUCUAGGUUCUGAGCUGACUCCUUGGAAACCCUAGACUCCAGGGACGCGCUUCUAGAACCUGCUCAGAUUGCUACUCAGUUAACAGCCUGGCCCAGGAGGAUUGCAACACCCAGCCUGGCUCCCAGGCUCCAGCCCUCACCAGCAGGGACUCAACAAACGCCAUCUGUCAGAUGAGUCAUGGGACCAGAAGCUUGGGAGAAGACAUGCAGAGCCAACCACUAACAAAACUGGCAAAUGAAAUAAAUGCCCAGAAACCUGCUCCA